rnacentral:rRNA from 1 species
GUAGAAUUCCAGGUGUAGCGGUGAAAUGCGUAGAGAUCUGGAGGAAUACCGGUGGCGAAGGCGGCCCCCUGGACAAAGACUGACGCUCAGGUGCGAAAGCGUGGGGAGCAAACAGGAUUAGAUACCCUGGUAGUCCACGCCGUAAACGAUGUCUACUUGGAGGUUGUGCCCUUGAGGCGUGGCUUCCGGAGCUAACGCGUUAAGUAGACCGCCUGGGGAGUACGGCCGCAAGGUUAAAACUCAAAUGAAUUGACGGGGGCCCGCACAAGCGGUGGAGCAUGUGGUUUAAUUCGAUGCAACGCGAAGAACC